UGCCUGAUUAUAUAAGACUGUUGUACAGUGUGAAUGAAAGAUUGUCUUAUCUUGGAAAAAAAAAAAAAGAGCUUGAACAGGAUCAUUAAGGCACUAGAUGAGGGACUAGAAGCCAUCCUGGGAGAAGAUCCUUUACUUUAGAAGCCCUGUGUGAUCCCAUAUCCUAACUGAUCCUUUGUGAGUGUGGAUUCUUUACCUCUGAGCCACCGGAGAAGCCCAUGUUUCUAGCCAAAUGAGACCCAUUUUGGACAUCUGACCCCUGGAAAGCUAAGCUUCCAGCUCCCAGGCCCAAAUGACUAUCCCAACCUAACCGCCAAAUCUGGAUUCCAAUCAGCGUAAAUACAGAAGGCAAGAAAGUCACCAACAGUAAAUGUGUGUGUUUAUUUACAGCAUGUCCCUGGGUUCCAGUUUCAGAGGACUUCUGAACUGCUGUGCUUCUUGUGUCUGCUGUAAGAUGUCUGCAGCUAUCUUCUCAUAUAGACAGCUUCUUUCGGGGUCAAGUGGUAACUGCAGAACACAGUCCUCCGUACCUCAGUCCAGCAUCCCCUUCUGCUGCUCCCCUGCCUGCCGAGGAG